AACGAACGCUGGCGGCAUGCCUAACACAUGCAAGUCGAACGAGACCUUCGGGUCUAGUGGCGCACGGGUGCGUAACGCGUGGGAACCUGCCCUUAGGUUCGGAAUAACUCCCCGAAAGGGGUGCUAAUACCGGAUAAUGUCUUCGGACCAAAGAUUUAUCGCCUUUGGAUGGGCCCGCGUUGGAUUAGCUAGUUGGUAGGGUAAAAGCCUACCAAGGCGACGAUCCAUAGCUGGUCUGAGAGGAUGAUCAGCCACACUGGGACUGAGACACGGCCCAGACUCCUACGGGAGGCAGCAGUGGGGAAUAGUGGACAAUGGGCGAAAGCCUGAUCCAGCAAUGCCGCGUGAGUGAUGAAGGCCUUAGGGUUGUAAAGCUAUUUUACCCGGGAUGAUAAUGACAGUACCGGGAGAAUAAGCGCCGGCUAACUCCGUG
rnacentral:rRNA from 1 species